UUACGGCCAUAUCAUGUUGAAACAUUCGUCCCCGUACGAUCAUCGAAGUUAAGCAACUUCGAGUCUGGUAAGUACCAAGAUGGGUCAGCGCUUGCGAAUAACAAUUGCUGUAAG